UCCAACUGCUCUACGACACAGAGCCGGGCAU
rnacentral:piRNA from 1 species